GCAUAUCAAUAAGCGGAGGAAAAAGAAACCAACAGGGAUUACCUCAGUAACGGCGAGUGAAGCGGUAACAGCUCAAAUUUGAAAUCUGGCCUCACGGUCCGAGUUGUAAUUUGUAGAGGAUGCUUCGAGCAUGGUCUGGCCUAAGUUCCUUGGAACAGGACGUCAUAGAGGGUGAGAAUCCCGUAUGCGGCCAGGUGCCUACGCUCAUGUGAAGCUCCUUCGACGAGUCGAGUUGUUUGGGAAUGCAGCUCAAAAUGGGUGGUAAAUUUCAUCUAAAGCUAAAUAUUGGCCAGAGACCGAUAGCGCACAAGUAGAGUGAUCGAAAGAUGAAAAGCACUUUGGAAAGAGAGUUAAACAGUACGUGAAAUUGUUGAAAGGGAAGCGCUUGCAACCAGACUUGCGCGCGGCCGAUCAUCCGGUGUUCUCACCGGUGCACUCGGCCGUGCUCAGGCCAGCAUCGGUUUUGGCGGCUGGAUAAAGGCCCUAGGAAUGUGGCUCCUCUCGGGGAGUGUUAUAGCCUAGGGUGCAAUGCAGCCUGCUGGGACCGAGGACCGCGCUUCGGCUAGGAUGCUGGCGUAAUGGUUGUAAGCGGCCCGUCUUGAAACACGGACCAAGGAGUCUAACAUCUAUGCGAGUGUUUGGGUGUCAAACCCAUACGCGUAAUGAAAGUGAACGGAGGUGAGAACCCUUAAGGGUGCAUCAUCGACCGGUCCUGAAGUUUACGGACGGAUCUGAGUAAGAGCAUAGCUGUUGGGACCCGAAAGAUGGUGAACUAUGCCUGAAUAGGGUGAAGCCAGAGGAAACUCUGGUGGAGGCUCGCAGCGGUUCUGACGUGCAAAUCGAUCGUCAAAUUUGGGUAUAGGGGCGAAAGACUAAUCGAACCAUCUAGUAGCUGGUUCCUGCCGAA
rnacentral:rRNA from 1 species